rnacentral:rRNA from 1 species
GAUGAACGCUGGCGGUAUGCUUAACACAUGCAAGUCGAACGGUACCUUCGGGUAUAGUGGCGGACGGGUGAGUAACGCGUGAGAAUCUAUCUUCAGGUCGGGGACAACAGUUAGAAAUGACUGCUAAUACCGGAUGUGCCGAAAGGUAAAAGAUUUAUUGCCUGAAAAAGAGCUCGCGUCAGAUUAGCUAGUAGGUGGUGUAAGAGACUACCUAGGCUUCGAUCUGUAGCUGGUCUGAGAGGACGAUCAGCCACACUGGAACUGAGACACGGUCCAGACUCCUACGGGAGGCAGCAGUGGGGAAUUUUCCGCAAUGGGCGAAAGCCUGACGGAGCAAUACCGCGUGAGGGACGAAGGCUCUUGGGUCGUAAACCUCUUUUCUCAAGGAAGAUUCAGACGGUACUUGAGGAAUAAGCAGCGGCUAACUCUGUG